AGCAGCGUGGCUUAGUGGAAAAAGCAUGGGCUUGGAAGUCAGAUGUUGUGGGUUCUAAUCUCGCCUCUGCCA
rnacentral:tRNA from 1 species